rnacentral:rRNA from 1 species
AGUGAACGCUGGCGGUAGGCCUAACACAUGCCAGUCGAACGGCAGCACAGUAAGAGCUUGCUCUUACGGGUGGCGAGUGGCGGACGGGUGAGGAAUACAUCGGAAUCUACUUUUUCGUGGGGGAUAACGUAGGGAAACUUACGCUAAUACCGCAUACGACCUACGGGUGAAAGCAGGGGAUCUUCGGACCUUGCGCGAUUGAAUGAGCCGAUGUCGGAUUAGCUAGUUGGCGGGGUAAAGGCCCACCAAGGCGACGAUCCGUAGCUGGUCUGAGAGGAUGGUCAGCCACACUGGAACUGAGACACGGUCCAGACGCCUACGGGAGGCAGCAGUGGGGAAUAUUGGACAAUGGGCGCAAGCUUGAUCCAGCCAUACCGCGUGGAUGAAGAAGGCCUUCGGGUUGUAAAGCCCUUUUGUUGGGAAAGAAAAGCAGCAGGUUAAUACCCCGCUGUUCUGACGGUACCCAAAGAAUAAGCACCGGCUAACUUCGUG